GAUGAACGCUGGCGGCGUGCCUAAUACAUGCAAGUCGAGCGAACGGACGAGAAGCUUGCUUCUCUGAUGUUAGCGGCGGACGGGUGAGUAACACGUGGAUAACCUACCUAUAAGACUGGGAUAACUUCGGGAAACCGGAGCUAAUACCGGAUAAUAUUUUGAACCGCAUGGUUCAAAAGUGAAAGACGGUCUUUCUGUCACUUAUAGAUGGAUCCGCGCUGCAUUAGCUAGUUGGUAAGGUAACGGCUUACCAAGGCAACGAUGCAUAGCCGACCUGAGAGGGUGAUCGGCCACACUGGAACUGAGACACGGUCCAGACGCCUACGGGAGGCAGCAGUAGGGAAUCUUCCGCAAUGGGCGAAAGCCUGACGGAGCAACGCCGCGUGAGUGAUGAAGGUCUUCGGAUCGUAAAACUCUGUUAUUAGGGAAGAACAUAUGUGUAAGUAACUGUGCACAUCUUGACGGUACCUAAUCAGAAAGCCACGGCUAACUACGUG
rnacentral:rRNA from 1 species